UUCAUGUGCAAAUCAGAGCAAGUAAGAUCGCCGCGUGCGUAGUGGAGAGUCAAGUAUGAGAAGCCCGGAAAGGAGAGAGACGAGGUUCGAGGAGAAGCCAUCUUCCUCUAUGGAGACGUGAUCUAUAGUGGUGGGAAGAAGUAUGAGGAACAAUUGAAGAUACAUGCUUUUCAGUGCCUGGUUCCUCUCCUCUUCCAUCUGGCUGACCCUUGCCCAGAGGUUGUUGUGAAGACUAAGUCCACAUUCAUGCGUCUUGCCAUAUUAUUCAACUGGGGCUUUCGGAAAGAACUGUUCAAUGCAUUGGCCUGGCGUGAGGGUCUGG